rnacentral:rRNA from 1 species
GAAAUCUGGUACCUUCGGUGCCCGAGUUGUAAUUUGGAGAGGGCAACUUUGGGGCCGUUCCUUGUCUAUGUUCCUUGGAACAGGACGUCAUAGAGGGUGAGAAUCCCGUGUGGCGAGGAGUGCGGUUCUUUGUAAAGUGCCUUCGAAGAGUCGAGUUGUUUGGGAAUGCAGCUCUAAGUGGGUGGUAAAUUCCAUCUAAAGCUAAAUAUUGGCGAGAGACCGAUAGCGAACAAGUACAGUGAUGGAAAGAUGAAAAGAACUUUGAAAAGAGAGUGAAAAAGUACGUGAAAUUGUUGAAAGGGAAGGGCAUUUGAUCAGACAUGGUGUUUUGUGCCCUCUGCUCCUUGUGGGUAGGGGAAUCUCGCAUUUCACUGGGCCAGCAUCAGUUUUGGUGGCAGGAUAAAUCCAUAGGAAUGUAGCUUGCCUCGGUAAGUAUUAUAGCCUGUGGGAAUACUGCCAGCUGGGACUGAGGACUGCGACGUAAGUCAAGGAUGCUGGCAUAAUGGUUAUAUGCCGC